UUCCUAAACUUUUCCCCCCAGUAAUGCAAGCGGGUAAAAUGGUAAACGCAGCAGUUUGGUGACAUCCAAAACCGACCUGUUGUCAGGAAUAUAAUGCUUGUGAAAGAUGCUGGAGCAACAGUUGCAGAGAUUGAACUCCUCUACCCGCAGGAAAGGUUUUUCUACACGAGCAGGAAGUCUUCUCUUCCCUGUUACGGGGACACUAACCUCUUGAUCACAAUGAGGGGAAGAAAGGAUGGACCAGCAGCAACGUGGAGUGGGGUGACGUCCACACUUGGACUCUUUGAACACUGUCCUGCUAACAUGGAGAACUGAAUAAAAGAGUUGUGAAUUCUAACUCAUGAGAGUAUGAGGUUCUUUUUGGUAUCAUAUGCACCAAUUCCCCUUUCUUCAAGUGCUGGUU
rnacentral:lncRNA from 1 species